rnacentral:lncRNA from 1 species
UCCACCUCCCUCCAGGAACUGAGCUCUGCAAUCCUCCAAGUUCAGGCUUAAGCACCCCCUCACCUCCGAGGGACACCCCUGGGCCCCCACACGGUGUACACGGGAGGCUGACGUACUGGAACAUGAGAAAAUUCUAACGUUGAAGACAAGGAGCCCUGUGGCUGGACCAGAAUGUAUUGAUGUUCUCCAGGUGUCUUCCUUUCUUACCCCAACUUCCUACCACUAGAGCAAAGGAAACAUC